GACGAACGCUGGCGGCGUGCUUAACACAUGCAAGUCGAACGGAAAGGCCCUGCUUUUGUGGGGUGCUCGAGUGGCGAACGGGUGAAUAACACGUGAGUAACCUGCCCUUGACUUUGGGAUAACUUCAGGAAACUGGGGCUAAUACCGGAUAGGAGCUCCUGCUGCAUGGUGGGGGCUGGAAAGUUUCGGCGGUUGGGGAUGGACUCGCGGCUUAUCAGCCUGUUGGUGGGGUAGUGGCUUACCAAGGCGUUGACGGGUAGCCGGCCUGAGAGGGUGACCGGCCACAUUGGGACUGAGAUACGGCCCAGACUCCUACGGGAGGCAGCAGUGGGGAAUAUUGCACAAUGGGCGGAAGCCUGAUGCAGCAACGCCGCGUGCGGGAUGACGGCCUUCGGGUUGUAAACCGCUUUCGCCUGUGACGAAGCGUGAGUGACGGUAAUGGGUAAAGAAGCACCGGCUAACUACGUG
rnacentral:rRNA from 1 species